ACAACUUUCCUUCACCAAGUAAGGUUCGAAGAGCCCACCAAAAAUCUGCACCGCUAAGUCAUGAGGACUAGAAAUGGCUAAGUCCCUUGUAAGACAUACCCUUGGACCCAAUAAGGCCAGCGGUAACAACACUCAAAACUAUAUGUGCCAAAUGCAAAAGAUACUUGGCCGAUUCAUGCGGAUGCCGUCGUCACAGGCUACAAUGCUAAGUCAGGCUCAAGGCAAAUGGUAUAGUCCCUUAUAUGACAUAUACAAUAACUCAAUAAGGCCGGCGGCAAGCACACUCAAAACUAUAAGUGCCGAGUGAACAAGAUAAUUGACCGAUUCAUUCGGAUGCCUUCGUCACAGGCUAAACGGCUAUGUCAUGGACAAGACAAAAUGGUAAAGUCCCUUGAAUGAAAUACGGAAUCAGUCGAUAAGGCCAGUCGCGAGCACACUCAAAACUAUUUGAGGCAAGUGACCAAGAUACUUCAGCGAUUCAUGCGUGGAACUCAUCACAAAGACCCUUACGCGGACCCAUGAACGGGCUGUACAGGGACACGGGGAAAAAGUGCCUGACAUAGUUCGUGGACGGAUCUGGACGCGCCCAAUGAAUCACCAGGAAAAACCACGUACACGGACCCGUGAACGGGCUGUACGUGGACACGGGAAAAAUGGCUGACGGCCGUCGUGGACGGAAGUGGACGCGCGCCAUGGAAAACUGGGCAAAACCACGUACAACUUACACGCCACGUACACGGACCGUUACACGGACCCGUGAACGGGCUGUACGUGGACACGGGAAAAAAACAUGCCGACGGCCGUCGUGCACGGAACUGGACGCGCGCCAUGUAAAACGGGGCAAAACCACGUACAACGCACACUCCACGUGCACGGACCGUUACACGGACCCGUCAACGGGGUGUACGUGGACACGGGAAAAAACUGGCCGACGGACGUCGUGGACGGAACUGGACGCACGACAUGGAAAACGGGGCAUAACCACGUGCAACGCACACAGCACGUACACGGACCGUUACACGGACCCGUGAACGGGCUGUACGUGGACACGGGAAAAAACUGGCCGACGGCCGUCGUGGACGGAACUGGACGCGCGCCAUGGAAAACGGGGCAAAACCACGUAAAACGCACACGCCACGUACACGGACCCUUACACGGACCCGUGAACGGGCUGUACGUGGACACGGGAAAAAACUGGCCGACGGCCGUCGUGGACGGAACUGGACGCGCGCCAUGGAAAACGGGGCAAAACCACGUACAACGCACACGCCACGUACACGGACCCUUACACAGAGCCGUGAACAGGCUGUACGUGGACACGGGAAAAAGUGCCCGACGGCCGUCGUGAACGGAAGUCGACGCGCGCCAUGGAAAACUGGGCAAAACCACGUACGUGGCACACGCCGCGUACACGGACCCUUACACGGACCCGUGAACGGCCUGUACGUGGACACGGGGAAAAACUGGCCGACGGCCGUCGUGGACGGAACUGGACGCGCGCCAUGGAAAACUGGGCAAAAACACGUACGUGGCACACCCCACGUACACGGAACCUUACACGGACCCGUGAACGGCCUGUACGUGGACACGGGAAAAAACUGGCCGACGGCCGUCGUGGACGGAACUGGACGCGCGCCAUGGAAAACGGGGCAAAACCACGUACAACGCACACGCCACGUACACGGACCCUUACAAGGACCCGUGAACGGGCUGUACGUGGACACGGGAAAAAACUGUCCGACGGCCGUCGUGGACGGAAGUGGACGCGCGCCAUGGAAAACGGGGCAAAACUACGUACGUGGCACACCCCACGUACACGGACCCUUACAUGGAUCCGUGAACGGGCUGUACGUGGACACGGGAAAAAACUGGCCGACGGCCGUCGUGGACGGAACUGGACGUGCGACAUGUGAAACGGGGCAAAGCCAGGUACGUGGCACACGCCGCGUACACGGACCCUUACACGGACCCGUGAACGGGUAUGAGAGGUCCGGGAAAAAAAUGGCCCAUACGCCAUGCGAACCGGCUCAAAACUAGCUAAUGAUGGUCAAGAAACGGUGCCAUGGCAGCGAAAACAUGUCUCAUGGCAAAAAAACGCUGCCACGGCAGCGUUUCAAAACAGUGUACCCCUCCUUCACAAUCUAAGGGCAGGGGUCCCAAUGGGGGCUAAAACCCUCGGGUAUAGUAGGGAGGAGGGGUCCUUCCUGGUGGGCGUACGGAACACGGGUGAUUUUUCUUAGGAAAAACACCCGUGUUCACGUACGCCCAUCCUUUCCCAACGUUGCCUCGGAUGUCCGUCGUUAUGCCAUCACGAAGGUGUUGGCCCGGUCCCGUGUACGUCUCGUAAGAAAUUCUGACCCAACAGCCGAACGUGGCUCGGGAAACAGGAAAGUACCCCGUUACGUACACGAUCCGACCGACGGUAAACAGUCGCAACGGUGUCCCUCGAAUGUCGCCUCCGGAAAACCGUUGCCCCUCGGUGGCAAGGUCAUCGCUGUCCCGGUCCCCUGUACGUCUCAAGUGAAAUUCUGACCCAACAGCCGAAUGCGGCUCGGGAAACAGGAAAGUAGCCCGUUUCGUGCACGAUAAGACCGUCCGACAACGUUGCACCGACGUCCCGAUAAAGUUGCCUUCGGAAAAUCGUUGCAUCCGUAGCUUUAUUGCUGCUGGUGUGACACGCGUGAUUUGGCCUUGCAGGACGCCUUCGUGCAAGUGAUCCUCCCGUGCUCUGCACGGGCGGAGGCUUGGUUGGUUUGACCGCUUGUUGGCUACUAAGCGCAUGAGUAGCUUUGGACCCGUGUCUGCCGGUAGAUCCCCCGUUGUACUGCGGCCGACUACCGGCGCCGUGUCCCGUCCGUCGUGUGGCUUCGAAUCGCUGGAUUAAGAGUGCUUGCGUGCUAGUACCCGACCUACGGGAAGUGGUGCUUCGGAUAAUUGUUGCCUCGCGGCGGACGCCCUUUGGGUGUGCCGCUGCGGCCAAAUAGCGCUUGCGGCGUUGCCUCGUGGCGCUGGCACAUUACGUGCCCGUUGCUAUCAAGGCAACCUCGCUCCCGCUUUUGGUCUCGGAUGCUGCUCACAAUAAAGGGUCGUGGCCCUUUCGGUUGCCUCGACCCGACCCAAAGCUCUCCGAACUGAGAACAACCGGAACAAGAGUUGCCUCUACCUCUCCACAGUUACGUGGUAGGAUACGCAACUCUCUGCGCCGAUCCUCAAGGACGAUGAGCUGUGCCGCUCAAGAGCGACAACCGGCUCGGCUGUUGCCUCUGAGUUUCCAUGAAAGUGGAAGCGCAGGACGAUGGCCGUGCUGGGCGUCACCA
rnacentral:misc_RNA from 1 species